rnacentral:rRNA from 1 species
GCAUAUCAAUAAGCGGAGGAAAAGAAACUAACAAGGAUUCCCCUAGUAACGGCGAAGUGAAGAGGGAAGAGCCCAAGAUUGAAAGCUGGCGUCUUCGGCGUCCGCAUUGUAAUCUCAAGAAGUGUUUUCCGCUUCGGACCAUGCCUAAGUCCCUUGGAAAAGGGCAUCAUAGAGGGUGAUAAUCCCGUACAUGGCAUGGAGCGCCCGAAGCUUUGUGAUUACACAUUCUACGAGUCGAGUUGUUUGGGAAUGCAGCUCAAAAUGGGUGGUAAAUGCCAUCUAAGGCUAAAUAUUGGGGAGAGACCGAUAGCGAACAAGUACAGUGAUGGAAAGAUGAAAAGAACUUUGAAAAGAGAGUUAAACAGUACGUGAAAUUGCCAAAAGGGAAGGGUAGGAGGUCAGAGAUGCGUCUUGGAAUUCAGCCUUGCUUUUGCUUGGUGUUUUUUCCAAUUUGCAGGCCAACGUCGGUUUUGGGCACUGGAGAAGGGUAGGAGGAACGUAGCACCUCUCGGGGUGUGUUAUAGCCUCCUACUGGAUACAGCGACCGAGACCGAGGAUAGCAGCGUACUCGCAAGAGCGGGCCUUUGGGCACCUUUACGCUUAGGGCGUUGGCAUAAUGGCCCUCUACCACCCGUCUUGAAACACGGACCAAGGAGUCUAACAUGUAUGCGAGUCUUUGGGUGGCAAACCCAUAGGCGCAAUGAAAGUGAAUUCAGGUGGGAUCCGCAAGGUGCACCAUCGACCAAUCCUCACGUCUUUAGAUCGUGGAUUUGAGUAAGAGCAUACCUGUUGGGACCCGAAAGAUGGUGAACUAUGCCUGAAUAGGGUGAAGCCAGAGGAAACUCUGGUGGAGGCUCGUAGCGGUUCUGACGUGCAAAUCGAUCGUCAAAUUUGGGUAUAGGGGCGAAAGACUAAUCGAACCAUCUAGUAGCUGGUUCCUGCG